CUAAUCUUAUCAUGAGUAAUGAACAAUGAGAGAAAUUGGUUAAUGGUCUUCUAUUGGAUUCAUUAAGGGAAAUAGUUUCAUCUCUAUCUGAUAGUUUAGCCAUUGUCCUACUUGAAAUUUGAAAUAAGCUGAGUGAAAUCUCCUUCAGCACAGUACAGUGAUUGUAUGGCUGUAUAUAUCACUGUUUUAGAUAACUAAAUAAAUAUAAAACUCCAAGGAACCCUGAAGCAGAAUUUCAGUAGCUGGGGCCUGAGAAUCAUUGAUGAUAUCAUGAUGCAUUGGUGAUUGUGAUGCAUAGGUUCUGAACGCACUAAUAUCCAUCAACAGCAUGUGCCCUGCCCCUGACAACUUGCAAUAGUUAAACGUUUUCAAGAACAAUGCUGCGCUGCUCAUUGAAAAGAUAUCCACAGGUACUAAACUUCAGGUGACCUCUUCCACAUGUGUUCUCACCAUUGUGAUGCCAUCCACCAUAAGACAUUCACUAGAGCUGAGCAGAUUCCUGCACCAUGAAAUGUAAGCUAAAUAAACCUCUUUUCUUUACAAAUUACUCA
rnacentral:lncRNA from 1 species